rnacentral:lncRNA from 10 species
AAAUGAGUCACACACACCAAUAGAAAAGGCCCUGAAACUUUCAACUCAGUGGCUCCUUUCUGCUAAAAGCAGCUCUAAAAGCAUGCGGACUUUCUUGAAAAUUGAGUUCUAGUUUCUCAUCAAAUGGAAAAAGAACUUUUCCUUAGGGGCAUCUCUCACCACCUAUGUCCAUAUGACGUAUGUGAAGUCGUGAUGUCUUGGAGGUGGCUGAGGGGCUUUCAGGUUCAUUUGGUUGGUGACAGAAUGCUGCCAGGUGAGAGCAAGGCUGCAGAGAGCAGAGCUUUCCAAAUUGCUGCAUUUUCUACAACUCUAAGGUGAGGAAACUGAGGCACGGAGAGAUAAGUGACUUGUGACUUGCCCAACAUCACAGAGCUGGUGACUUGAAGGAGAAGCUGGCAU